GGGGACGUGGCGGAAUGGUAGACGCAGCGGCCUUAAAAGCCGCAGCCGCAAGGCGUGUGGGUUCGAGUCCCACCGUCCCUAC
rnacentral:tRNA from 1 species